rnacentral:rRNA from 1 species
CAGUAGCCACGGUAAUACGUAGGUGGCAAGCGUUGUCCGGAAUUAUUGGGCGUAAAGGGCUCGCAGGCGGUUUCUUAAGUCUGAUGUGAAAGCCCCCGGCUCAACCGGGGAGGGUCAUUGGAAACUGGGAAACUUGAGUGCAGAAGAGGAGAGUGGAAUUCCACGUGUAGCGGUGAAAUGCGUAGAGAUGUGGAGGAACACCAGUGGCGAAGGCGACUCUCUGGUCUGUAACUGACGCUGAGGAGCGAAAGCGGGGGGAGCGAACAGGAUUAGAUACCCCGGUAGUCCCUGUCUCUUAUAC